ACUCCUGCGUGAGGCAGCAGUGGGGAAUUUUGGACAAUGGGCGAAAGCCUGAUCCAGCAAUGCCGCGUGAGUGAAGAAGGCCUUCGGGUUGUAAAGCUCUUUUGUCAGGGAAGAAACGGUGAAAGCUAAUAUCUUUUGCUAAUGACGGUACCUGAAGAAUAAGCACCGGCUAACUACGUGCCAGCAGCCGCGGUAAUACGUAGGGUGCAAGCGUUAAUCGGAAUUACUGGGCGUAAAGCGUGCGCAGGCGGUUUUGUAAGUCUGAUGUGAAAUCCCCGGGCUCAACCUGGGAAUUGCAUUGGAGACUGCAAGGCUAGAAUCUGGCAGAGGGGGGUAGAAUUCCACGUGUAGCAGUGAAAUGCGUAGAUAUGUGGAGGAACACCGAUGGCGAAGGCAGCCCCCUGGGUCAAGAUUGACGCUCAUGCACGAAAGCGUGGGGAGCAAACAGGAUUAGAAACCCCGGUAGUCCCAUGA
rnacentral:rRNA from 1 species